AUGCACUUUAUGUUGAUUAAUAGCAGUUACUUAGAUGCUGUAUUACAUGUGCUAAUUUAUGGUUGUAGACAGUUGUUUGGUGUUAGCAUUAGCACUUGGUCAAGCAGCUCCUCAAGUAAUUAUUUUAAUUUGACACUCAUAUUCACUGUAUUUGUUGUUACAGUUUCACACCUGCCAUAUAAAGCAAAGUCUAAACCCACUCUGGCGUCAGUGACUUUUGUGUGGAGGUGUUUAACUCCUGGAUAGUAGAAAGUGGUUCUACAAGGCCAGUACACUCAAAAAUCUGAAACAAUCUUAAAUUUCACCCGUUUAAUGCACCCUGUACCUCAUCAAAAGCUGCACCUUUCUGCACACAACAAUGUCCCCCUUUAAGCACUGUGCCAUACUUAGAUUCAGCAUAAGAUAUAAGCCCAUUACAACAACGUAUCAUCACUAAAUUAUACAUUUCCUGUCCAAAUCUACACCUCUGAACAGACCUGACCACCGUAAUCAAUUAUCCUGUUACUUUACCAUUAUAUUUGUCGCCCAAUAAUCCUCCUCAGUCACUGCUCUGUUUCCUCACCUGAAAGCCUCAGUCACACACGCACACAGGAAGCUUCAUCGUCACCACUCACUCCAGCUAAUUUGCAUACUGAGUCAUAUCUCAACAAGUUAACUUGACAAGAGAAAUACAUGUUUAAACCUUAUCACAUUAUUCAAUUAUUUUCUUUCUAUACUAAUCACUUGCUUUGAUCAAUCAGUGCAAGAGCACUCCUAAGUCACUCUUAUAAAAACUACUUUAAUCACUUUUCUUUUGUUUUUUCUAUAACUCACUCCCCUGUCAUACAGCUUCUUUUGAGUUAUUCCUCAACUCUAUUUUAUCCAAGUGUAUUUUUUUCAACAUUCACACCAUUUUAACACUCAUGAAAUUAGCAAGCUGAUUUAAUUACAUGUGUUUGUGUUCUUAGCCAAGUUUAAUCACUAUCUAUGCAUUAAUCUUCAUGAGCUUGUCUCUGUAAGGUUAGUGCGUUUUCUGUUUGUAUGUGUGGUUUUUUUUAAAUGUUUCUUUAACUGUGUUUCAGACUCCUUAUAGACAGGGUGUGUUUUCUCUCUUUGGCUCAUCACUGGUCAUUGUUAAUGACAUUUCCCCUCUGCCUCUGCCCAGCGGCUUUACCCUUGAAGUCCCGUCUCCACCAGUGAGUCCGAGCUCACACAGACUUAGGUCAAGUAGUCGUGACUGUGCCUGCCUUAGGUGUUCCCAGGAUUUUCAGGCGGGAUCUUACCCAUCAUGGGCUAUCCAGCCUUCCAUACUCACCUGAUACAGGGGCCAAAUGGGCAAGAGUGUUAUUAGGUCUAGGGGACACACUGGUUCUGGAAAUUAAAGGAGUGUAAACUGCUUUCUUUAUUUCAUGUGUGUAUUAAACUUUCCAACAAUAAUUUCACAUGUAACAAUUUGUGUACGUGCAUUUUCAAUUCAUUAAUGUAAUUGUUAGUUCUUCUAUUUAUUUCCCCGUCUUUCUCUUUUCUAAAACAUAUAAUUAAUACAAUUUUAUUACUUUCUCUUAAGACAUUCAUUCGCUUCAUCUUCUUAGAGUUUAACUCGUCUGUUUCUCUCUGUUAGCUGUCUUGACACAGUCAGCUCCUUUUUAUGGGCAUGCAAAGUUCCUCUCACAACCACCACUUCCUCUCACACACAGCAGCACAGUAUUUUCUGUCUCUCUUUCCUGUUUCUACAGAUUAAUCAAACUCUUGUUUUCCAUAUUUACAGUCUAUAAACCCUCUUUAGUUAACUAAAUCUUCGUCUAAAAACAAUACACCCUUAUUUCAUGCACACUUUUAAAUAUUCUAACCUCUUUCAGACAUCAUGAAUCGUCUCACACACACUGCCUUUUCUCUCAAACUUCCACCUUUUCACUCACUCUACUAUCAACCUUCGUGUUAUUAUUACCCAUUUAUUAUUUGGCACACAUCACGCAGAGUUACUCAGAUCAAAUACUGACAGCAUUCACACGGUUAAAAUCACUCAAAAUACGCUUUCAUACGAGUAUUUUGGACAUGCUUUUCAUAAUCAGAAAGAGCAAGUCAAAGAAAAACAACUGAAACCUCUAAUCAUCCUCACAGCUUCUCACAGCACACACAUAACUGAGAAAAAAAACUAAAACACACCAGCAUUUAUUGCUCAAGAGAGGUUACUACAGGAAAAUAUAUAGUGGUCUUAGGUACUGUACAAUGCACUCAAUAUAUAUAUUAAAACACAGUGAAUUACUAUACAUCCGCAGUAAUGAAUUCAAACUCUAUUCAGUCACAGGCAUUUGAGAAGAUCUACAAACAAUAGUUAUCAAGCUAGAUAACACACGAAACCGAAAGCAACAAUCCCCUCAUGCGCUCCGCAGCAGCUGCCUCAUUUACAUGAACACACACCAUCUAAAAAUAGAAGUCAACAGGCAGUGCACUGCUGACACAGAGACUCCCUUCACACAAAGAUUUCUUAUUUUAUAUUACACAGAUGUCUUUUAAUUACAACUGCACAGAUUUAGGCCUCUUAAAACCUACCGAAUUUCGACAAAUUUAAUAAUAACCGCCCAGCGGAAAACUCCCUGAGUUUUUUGCGACCAAUUUACCGUUUAUCGGUCCCGGACCGCGGCCUCAUCUCUAGUGCCCUAACACAAUUUAAAAGCGUCAACCAACUCAACCCCUGCCGAAAAGCCCUAUUUUGGCCUUCCUCAGCCAAGACCUUCCCGAAGUUUUAAGUCUUAAGGUUACACGCCCGAAACUCGGUUUCUACUGACCAAAAACUGCACAAUGCCGUCCCGGAUGACAAACUGGUAGAUACCAGUGGCUAUUUUUGAACCAAGGUCCCAAGUCAUUGGCCGGUGCCACCGGGGAUAACCUCACGCCGGAGGACCCUUUCCCACGUCUGGAAAAGGGAGGGAGGGGGUUCCCACCCCUGAACUUGGUGCAGUCCUAGGAGCCCAGCUCCCGUCCUAAGAUAAUUUAAUUAAUUUGAAAACACCACCCAAAAUCACACAAGCAAUUCUAUUGAUGUCCAAGCCCGGCUUUAUAUUCAAUUGAGACUUAACUGUCACAAACUCUCACCAAUUACCUAUCCUACUAAAUUCACUUUGCAGUCCAACUGCUUUAAAUACACUUAUUCUCUUUACUCUUUACUUAUUUUCUCUUAUUCUCUUUACCCAGUACUAACAUUUUCAACGUUUCAUUAUCGUUACUUCACUUUCAGAUUUUCACCAAAAUCAAAACAGACAUUUGCCAGUAAUUUCAGUGAGCAGACUUUAAAUUUAAACAGCCGAAUUUGACACACUUUGGACAGAAAAUCAACAGGUGGUGCCUACCUUUUGAUGUAUGCCGGCUUGUCACUCACUUUCCACCACUGACCGCUGCCUGUGCGCCUGACACCUCGGACCCCUCUCCGUCCUGUUUUCCACUUCCCCCCAGGACGAGCCCCCAAGAUGUUGGGUUCAAAAAUAUUGGGAAGAAAAUACAGGAGGAAUGCAAGUAACCACACUGGUCCAGAAGAUGAGUUCAAGCGAUGAUUUUAAUGAAAAGCUCACGCGUGGGAGUCACACCCUGCAGAACAUCAAAGGUGUAUCUCUCCGACAAUGAACAGACGAAAGGUUUUUAUAGGGUUGGGUGAAUACAUCACCCCUUCAUACACUAAGCAGAUACAAUACUUGCAUACGUAAAAUCAAAACCACAGGCCCCCAGUUAACCUUUUGACACAUUUUAAAAGAACAUUAGCUUCCAUCUUCAUCCAGGUGCAGUGCCCGCAACCGCCGCCCCAACAUAGCUGUUAGACAUCCUGUACUUUCAUCAAACCGUCACGUACACCCACAGAAAAACCGCAACCCUAGCAAACAUGCUUAAACUUUCACCUACAAAAAUAAACCCACUACUAUCUCUGUGCGCGUGUGGGUGCGUGUGGGUGCGUGUAUGUCUGUGCAUGUGUUCCUUUCGCCUCGCACCUUAUUUGACCUUUCUGCUUAUGUAACCAGGCUGAGGCCCUCCUGUGUAUUAUGAUCUUAACUUGUAUGUAAAAUGUAUAAAAAUGUAUUAAACAAAUGUUUCAAUCUAAUACCACUACUUGAAACUUAAUAAAAGGUAUACAUAGAUAAAAAUAAUAAAAAACAGAAUACAAAUGUAUUGUAAGCGUGUGCAAUCCUUCAAUAACUCAUGUCAUCCUCACAGUAGAUUGAAACCCUCAAGAGACGACUUCUUGAGUCACAACUCCUUUAAAGACACAAAAUGCAAUAUGUGUAGAGUAAUCAUAGGUGCACCUACAAUGACAAAUCCCCAUUUAAUUAUACUGACACCUGUAAAUAAAGUAAAUUAAGUAAAUAAAAAUUAACCUGAAAUUAAUGCAAACUUUAAGGUAAUACCAAUAAAUGCAUCAAUGCAAAUGCUUGUUACUUGAUUAUGGUGCAAUAGCAAUAACAAAAUAAUGAAACUGGAAAUAGUAAAAUGUACUGAUAAAAAUGAAAAUAAAUGAAAAAUAAAAAUAAAUGAAAAAUAACCCCUCAAUUCCUCACAUUCCCUCUGAUGACCUCUGGAAAACAUCCAGAGGUCACCACACUGGUUGUCGUGUCACUCUCACAUAAGCUUCUAAGUCAUCCAUCUCUACUUCACAUAUUGUCAACUCAUAUGGGUCAUUCUCUGUUUCUCCACUACAUACACAGUUAACCUCCAACAAAGACCCUAUUACUCGUGUAAUUUCAAUCUUACAGGAUGCUAAUAGCAGCAUGGUUGGAUUUCUAUAUAAUUUUAUCCAGCCUA
ensembl:lncRNA